rnacentral:ncRNA from 1 species
GUAAAGUUUAAUUCUGGCUUAAAGAUUUAUUAAAUUUUUUAAUUACAUGUAAAUUUUUGUAUGAAUUUAAAGUUAAUUUUAAUAGUUGGUUUUAAAAUUUUAUUCGCAGUAUAAAGUUUUAUUAAUUUAAGAAAUUAAGAAUUAUAAAAAAAUUAUAAUAUUGACAAAAUUUGUGCCAGCAGUUGCGGUUAUACAAAAAAUAUAAAUAAAUUUUAUUGAUUGAUAAUAAAAAGUUUUAUUUUUAAUUAAAAUUAAAUUUGUAAGGUGAAAUUUAAAAUUUAAAAUAAUUAUUAUUAAAUUUUUUGAUGUUAUUAAAUUUAAAAGUUAAACUAGGAUUAGAUACCCUAUUAUUUUAAUUGUAAAAAUAUUCAUUUAAGUAGUAUUAGUUAUGAUCUUGAAAUUUAAAGAUUUUGGCGGUAUUUUAGUCUAUUCAGAGGAACCUGUCCUGUAAUUGAUAGUCCACGAUAAAUUAUACUUAGCAUAUUAAUUUGUAUAUCGUCGUUAUUAAGUAUUUUAAAAGAAUAUAAAUGUUUAAGUUUUUACAUUAUAAAAUAUAUCAGAUCAAGGUGCAGUUUAUAGUUAAGAAGAGAUGGGUUACAAUAAAUUUAUUUAUAUGGAUUUAUAUAUAAAAAUUUAUAAUAAAAGUGGAUUUGAUAGUAAUAAUAUUUAGAUAAAUUUUAUGAUUUUAGCUCUAAAAUGUGUACAUAUCGCCCGUCGCUCUUAUUUUAAAAUAAGAUAAGUCGUAACAAAGUAGAUGUACUGGAAAGUGUAUCUGGAAUGAC